AGUGAACGCUGGCGGUAGGCCUAACACAUGCAAGUCGAACGGCAGCACAGUAAUAGCUUGCUCUUACGGGUGGCGAGUGGCGGACGGGUGAGGAAUACAUCGGAAUCUACUUUUUCGUGGGGGAUAACGUAGGGAAACUUACGCUAAUACCGCAUACGACCUACGGGUGAAAGCAGGGGAUCUUCGGACCUUGCGCGAUUGAAUGAGCCGAUUUCGGAUUAGCUAGUUGGCGGGGUAAAGGCCCACCAAGGCGACGAUCCGUAGCUGGUCUGAGAGGAUGAUCAGCGACACUGGAACUGAGACACGGUCCAGACUCCUACGGGAGGCAGCAGUGGGGAAUAUUGGAAAAUGGGCGCAAGCCUGAUCCAGCCAUACCGCGUGGGUGAAGAAGGCCUUCGGGUUGUAAAGCCCUUUUGUUGGGAAAGAAAAGCAGCAGGUUAAUACCCCGCUGUUCUGACGGUACCCAAAGAAUAAGCACCGGCUAACUUCGUG
rnacentral:rRNA from 1 species